rnacentral:ncRNA from 2 species
GACACCCUACGGUUCGAAGGUGCCCUGCACGACCAGUCACAGGACUGGCUGCGGGGUUAAACGGGAAGCAGGUGCGAGGCGUCGACUGUUUGAACGACGCUUCCAUUCCUGCGCUGCCCCCGCAACGGUCAGCGGAUUUCGAGACCCUCAUGCCCCUGCGCUUUCUUGCAUGGGCAGCCACUGCGCUUCGGCGUGGGAAGGCGAGGGUGUCGGCGCCGAGGUGCAUUCACUUUGUCUGCAUCUCCAGCGCACUCCGCGAGCCCGGAUACCGGCCUUCGCAACCGCCUUCGG